UACGAAGGGGGCUAGCGUUGUUCGGAAUUACUGGGCGUAAAGCGCACGUUAGGCGGACAUUUAAGUCAGGGGUGAAAUCCCGGGGCUCAACCCCGGAACUGCCUUUGAUACUGGGUGUCUAGAGUAUGGAAGAGGUGAGUGGAAUUCCGAGUGUAGAGGUGAAAUUCGUAGAUAUUCGGAGGAACACCAGUGGCGAAGGCGGCUCACUGGUCCAUUACUGACGCUGAGGUGCGAAAGCGUGGGGAGCAAACAGGG
rnacentral:rRNA from 1 species